rnacentral:rRNA from 1 species
GACGAACGCUGGCGGCGUGCCUAAUACAUGCAAGUUGAGCGCUGAAGGUUGGUAUUUGUACCAACUGGAUGAGCAGCGCACGGGUGAGUAACGCGUGGGGAAUCUGCCUUUGAGCGGGGGACAACAUUUGGAAACGAAUGCUAAUACCGCAUAAAAACUUUAAACACAAGUUUUAAGUUUGAAAGAUGCAAUUGCAUCACUCAAAGAUGAUCCCGCGUUGUAUUAGCUAGUUGGUGAGGUAAAGGCUCACCAAGGCGAUGAUACAUAGCCGACCUGAGAGGGGGGUCGGCCACAUUGGGACUGAGAAACGGCCCAAACGCCUACGGGAGGCAGCCGUAGGGAAACUUCGGCAAUGGGCGAAAGUCUGACCGAGCAACGCCGCGGGAGUGAAGGAGGGUUUCGGAUCGUAAAACUCUGUUGGUAGGGAAGAACGUUGGUGAGAGUGGAAAGCUCAUCAAGUGACGGUAACUACACAGAAAGCGACGGCUAACUACGUG